rnacentral:tRNA from 1 species
AAGCCUUUACCUAUAGGCUUUUUAGACUAGAGCAGUGGACUCAUAAUCCAUUGGUCGGAGGUUCGAGUCCUCCCGGGCCCACCA